rnacentral:tRNA from 2 species
GCCCGUGUGGCCAAGUGGUAAGGCGUCGCACUUGUAAUGCGAAGAUCCAUAGUUCGACUCUGUGUACGGGCA